GAUGAACGCUAGCGGCAGGCUUAACACAUGCAAGUCGAGGGGUAACAGGAGAUAGUUUACUAUUUUGCUGACGACCGGCGCACGGGUGAGUAACGCGUAUACAAUUUGCCUUUUACAGGAGGAUAGCCCAGAGAAAUUUGGAUUAAUACUCCAUGGUAUUACGGAAUCGCAUGGUUUUGUAAUUAAAGUUUCGGCGGUAGAAGAUGAGUAUGCGUCCUAUUAGCUAGUUGGUAAGGUAACGGCUUACCAAGGCGACGAUAGGUAGGGGUCCUGAGAGGGAGAUCCCCCACACUGGUACUGAGACACGGACCAGACUCCUACGGGAGGCAGCAGUGAGGAAUAUUGGUCAAUGGAGGCAACUCUGAACCAGCCAUGCCGCGUGCAGGAAGACUGCCCUAUGGGUUGUAAACUGCUUUUAUACAGGAAGAAAACUUACCCACGUGUGGGUAACUGACGGUACUGUACGAAUAAGGACCGGCUAACUCCGUG
rnacentral:rRNA from 1 species